AAGGGCGCGUAGGCGGUGUGUCAAGUCAGUUGUGAAAUCUCCGAGCUUAACUCGGAACGGUCAACUGAUACUGUCACACUAGAGUACAGAAGGGGCAAUCGGAAUUCUUGGUGUNGCGGUGAAAUGCGUAGAUAUCAAGAGGAACACCUGAGGCGAAGGCGGGUUGCUGGGCUGAUACUGACGCUGAGGCGCGAAAGCUAGGGUAGCAAACGGGAUUAGAUACCCCGGUAGUCCUAGCCCUAAACGAUGUAUGCUUGGUGUCUGGAGUUUUAAAUCUCUGGGUGCCGCCGCUUAACGCUUUNGGGAUACCGCCUGGGGAGUACGCACGCAAGUGUGAAACUCAAAGGAAUUGACGGGGACCCNCACAAGCGGGGGAGCAUGUGGUUUAAUU
rnacentral:rRNA from 1 species